rnacentral:rRNA from 1 species
UACGAAGGGUGCAAGCGUUAAUCGGAAUUACUGGGCGUAAAGCGUGCGUAGGUGGUCUUUUAAGUCCGUUGUGAAAGCCCUGGGCUCAACCUGGGAAUGGCAGUGGAUACUGGAAGGCUGGAGUACGGUAGAGGAGGGUGGAAUUCCCGGUGUAGCGGUGAAAUGCGUAGAGAUCGGGAGGAACAUCAGUGGCGAAGGCGGCCCUCUGGACCAGUACUGACGCUGAGGUGCGAAAGCGUGGGGAGCAAACAGG